UCUCAUUAUGUCUGGUAGUAAUGUCAUCUCUGAGUACUUAAAUAUUCAUCUAUAUAUUCCUUUGCUAAAUUUCCCUUUAUUUCUCUUUUAUAUUAAACUUUUUUUUAGAGAGCGCAACUCCAAAUCAUCUUUUAUUAAUGGAGAAAGGUCAUAUUUAGCAAAAGACACAAGGCAGGGAAGUGUCAGACCUGAGGCCUGAGCCCGUGCUGAGGGAGAAGGAGGCUCGGGGCACGUGGGAGAAGUGCUGGGAAGGGCUGAGUGGUGGGGGCCGCAGAAAGUUCCAGUGGGCAACACUGUGGGCAGGUCAUGGGUGGGACUCACGGGGACCUCGCUGCUAACUCUUGUUGCGUUGGCAGAGUGGGGUGGGGGGAAGGGAGGAUCGUUAGUGCUGCCACCUGGAGUGAGAGCCGCCCCUUGGUUCCUGAGGGCACCAUCAAGGGACACAGGACAGGAAGCCCAGGAUGGUGCUCCGUGAUGCUCUUGCUGCCAGCAAAGGUGGUCCGGAUCCCUUUGCCCAUCUCCCCUGUGACCGACAGCAGUUCCCUGUGGGUGCUCUGGGAGCCCUGGGCGCCAGGUGGUUUCAUGGCCUGCAUGCAGCCGAUGGAGGCGGUCCAAAGUCGUUAAAUAGCGGUUUGAAAGGGACAGCAGCUUCUGGCACCGAGACCGACGGCGACGGGACGCUUCCUGUAGGGACCGGGGUGCCCAGCCCAGGGGUGCUGGAGCCGGGGGUGCUGCUGGGGGCAGGUGUGAUGGGUUUGUAGGACAUCCUCAACUCCUGGGUGCUGGGGAUGCCAGCAGGCCGCUCCUCGGGGGUUGGCUGCCUGGCCACUCAGCAGAGAGCUGAUUUGCAAGCUGGCUGCACGCCCCCUACUAAAUCUGUGUUGAACUUUUUAACUGCAAUUUUUAUUAAUCUAAAUACAGUUCAGAUAUUCUCGAUGAAAAUUUCACAUUUUAGUUAGUUGAGACAUACUAAAAUGUAAAAUACACAAUGGAUUUCAAAGGUUUCAUAUGAAAAAAGAAUGCA
rnacentral:lncRNA from 1 species